rnacentral:lncRNA from 1 species
GGGCAAGCCAGUCCAGGUUGCCACACCCAUAGUGGCCUCCUCUGAGGCUGUGGCAGAGAAGGAGGGAGCCCGGAAGGAGGAACGCAAGCCCCGGAUGGGUCUCUUCCACCACCACCACCAAGGCCUAAGUCGGAGCGAGUUGGGUCGCCGAAGCUCUCUGGGGGAAAAGGGGGGUCCCAUCCUGGGGGCCUCCCCACAUCACUCAUCCAGUGGGGAGGAAAAGGCCAAGAGUAGCUGGUUUGGCUUGAGAGAAGCCAAGGACCCGACUCAGAAACCCAGCCGCCUCCCCCGCUGCUGCCACUGCUGCCGCUGCCGCCACCACCGCCGCCCCUGAAGCCACCCCACCUGGAUUAUUGGGUCUUACCAACCCGUUCCUCACCUCUUUGCAGAGCAACCCCUUCUUCGAGGAGCUCAUAGCCGACAUAGCACUAAACUCUCCUUCACCUGCUCCCUCUCUCCCCAGUGCCUCGAGGGCCAGCCCCACCCCCCUGGCCUCCCCUGGGAAAGCCCUGCCUGAGUGGGACAACACCUUCAACGUCUUUGCUGCCAGCAGGCUGCGUCCAGAGGCCAGGAGCGAGAUCCUGGCCCCUGCAGGAGUGGGGCUG